UACGUAGGUGGCAAGCGUUGUCCGGAAUUAUUGGGCGUAAAGCGCGCGCAGGCGGUCCUUUAAGUCUGAUGUGAAAGCCCACGGCUCAACCGUGGAGGGUCAUUGGAAACUGGGGGACUUGAGUACAGAAGAGAAGAGUGGAAUUCCACGUGUAGCGGUGAAAUGCGUAGAGAUGUGGAGGAACACCAGUGGCGAAGGCGGUUACCUGGAGCUUUGCUGACGCUGAUGCGCGAAAGCGUGGGGAGCGAUCCGG
rnacentral:rRNA from 1 species